UACGGCCACACCACGUUAAAACAACGGUUGCUGUAUGAUCACCGUAGUUAAGCACUGUCGAGCCUGUUCAAUACCUAGACGGGUGACCACUUGGGAAUACCAAGUGCU